UACGUAGGGAGCGAGCGUUGUCCGGAUUCAUUGGGCGUAAAGAGCUCGUAGGCGGCUUGAUAAGUUGGAUGUGAAACCUCCAGGCUCAACCUGGAGUCGCCAUCCAAGACUGUCAUGGCUAGAGUCCGGUAGGGGCCCACGGAAUUCCUGGUGUAGCGGUGAAAUGCGCAGAUAUCAGGAGGAACACCGGUGGCGAAGGCGGUGGGCUGGGCCGGCACUGACGCUGAGGAGCGAAAGCGUGGGGAGCGAACAGGAUUAGAAACCCCUGUAGUCC
rnacentral:rRNA from 1 species